AAUGCACCAAUUUGUAAGUCGCUCUGGAUAAGAGCGUCCACUAAAUGACGUAAA
rfam:Salmo salar isolate Sally breed double haploid chromosome ssa25, whole genome shotgun sequence.